UACGUAGGGGGCAAGCGUUGUCCGGAUUUAUUGGGCGUAAAGAGCGUGUAGGCGGUUUGGUAGGUCCGCUGUGAAAACUCGGAGGCUCAACCUCGAGACGCCGGUGGAAACCAUCAGGCUAGAGUCCGGAAGAGGAGAGUGGAAUUCCUGGUGUAGCGGUGAAAUGCGCAGAUAUCAGGAAGAACACCCGUGGCUAAGGCGGCCCGCUGGGCAGUAGCUGACGGCUGAGGCGCGACAGCGUGGGGAGCAAACAGG
rnacentral:rRNA from 1 species